UACCCGCGCCCCUAGUGGUGGUCGAUAUUAUUGAGCCUAAAACGUCCGUAGCCGGUCAUCUAAAUCCUUGGGUAAAUCGGGCAGCUUAACUGUCCGAAGUCCGGGGAGACUGGAAGACUUGGGACCGGGAGAGGUCAGAGGUACUUCUGGGGUAGGGGUAAAAUCCUGUAAUCCUGGGAGGACCACCUGUGGCGAAGGCGGCUAACUGGAACGGAUCCGACGGUGAGGGACGAAGCCCUGGGGCGCAAACGGG
rnacentral:rRNA from 1 species